UCAGUUAAGUCGACAAGUAUUCUUUUCCUGUAGAGGCUAACACAACAAAGCGUUUUAUUAGUCAUAAUAACUUUUGUAAUCUCAACACCUAGCAAAUGAUGCAACAUGUUUUUGUUCAUAAUCAUGGUGUCCUGGCCAACUUGCUUGCACCUUAACUAAUUCCACAGGUAUAUGCUAUCUCUCCCAACUCUAUCCACCUUCCACCAAGGUUUAGACAAAUAAGAAGAAAUCACAUAGUGUUUAAGACUUCGUGGUUCUCAAACCACUUCAUUAACCACUAGGGGAACCGUUGAGUGCAACAAUGUAUUCACCUGGAUGAGCAUUGCUGAUCAUGGUGUAGACUGUAGGUCUGUCUAAUAUUCGAGUUUGGUUCCAAUUUCAAUACUAGGUAAUUCUAGUCUGUCAAAAACAUACAGUGAACAUUAUUUUCUCGCUAAGAUUUUCAAGAUCACAUAAUUAGAAUUUAGAAACCCAAGUAAAAUUCACUGAACACGUUGGAGAGCAUCUCAUAAGGUAAAGAGGAGAAAGUACAGAACAUAAGGCAAUUAUAAAGAUUAAGCAGGAAUCAUUACGUAAAGUAUAAUUAAGUUUUGAGAAAUACAGGAUUAGUUAACAUUGCCGAUGAAUAGUAAUUUGUUUAUAGUUAUGAUAUGGAAGCAGAUAGACGUUGAGUGUGCACAAAAAGGAUUCUAUUUGGCAGACAAAAGAAGGCGUUGUACAGGUAGAAUUCCAUUUCUGGGGAUACAUUUGCCUUCUGGUCUAUUAUGAAAUGUUGCUUUCAACAGUCAAUUAGUGACAGUAACACUGAGAAAAUAAGGGAUGCCACUUUUUGUGACCACAAGUCGGUACUGGACUUACCAAAGUGCUUGAAAGAGAUGAGCCAAUCAGCCAAGCACCAUAAUCUCUAAGUUCCUGCUAAGUUGGUCCUGCUGCAUAAACAACAUGCUGUUAUUUAGAUCAUACUCAUACAACAAACUAAUUGGACUGAAUAAUCACGAUUUUAUAUCAAGUUAGACUACAAGUUGGGAUCAGCAUAUGAAUCCUAUCUAUCCAUGUCACUCUAUUUGGAUCCACACCAUUACUAUAUACAAGAGAUUUAUAGGAAACCUACAAAGAAAAGACACAUCAAAAACAUGGAAUAAAAUAGAGACGUCUAAUAUGAAACCUCUUUUUCUGCAGUCAAGAAGUUGACAACCACAACAAAUCUAGGUAAUGAGAUGCUAAUUCCAGAUUGAUUAAAGCAACUGAUUGAACCUCCCUCUAGUUUAGCAACAAAAUGGACCUUCCACUAGUUUAGGAAGACUAAAAAGACCUCCCAUCUACAGUUCAAAAAUUACAGAGAUCAUUCUUGCCUAACUGUAAAAUUGACAGAAUUCAUUGAGAUCUGAUAUCCCAAAAACAAAACUAUACAAAGUUGAGGUCCAUUUAGUAUUGUUAAACUGGAACAAGUGUAAGUAAUUCACUUAAGAUUUUACUAGCUGAAUUGUAAGCAGUACUCCAACGUGUUUCUUCUUAAGUUUUUGAAUAACAUAUAUGUACAAACUAAAACUCUUACCAUGAACAUGCUUGUUUUUUCUUGAGACAGAGAUGAAAGGGCUAUUGAUGCCGACCAUCACCUUCAUGAAUUUGGGUCCGUUGAAUAUUACAUUCA
rnacentral:lncRNA from 1 species